GGGAGACAGAACCAGGGCUGGCCUGAGGCACGCUCACCUCUGCCUCCCUGAAGUACUCACCCAUCUCCAGAAAAUGCACUGGGGCUGGUGGGACACGGGGCCCUCUCAGAAGCCUCGGUCUCAAGGUGGAGUGAUUUACUUCACUGCCAUCUGCCUAGUGCCUAGGCCUGGCACAUAGUAGGCACUCAGUAAAUAUUCAUUUAUUAGUGAAUUACAGCUCAUGCUUUCUUUCAUUACUCAAAUAUCAUUUUUUCUAUGAGAUCUGCCCUGACAACUCUAUAUAAAAUUGCUAAUUGCCCCUUCCCCAACUCCCAACCUCCCUCAUCCUGCUCAAUUUCUCCCUUUUGUUCCAUAGCACUUACUACCUUCUACAUUGUGUAUAAGGUGACUUGUGUACUAUUUACUACUUGCUUUCUGUUUCUCCCUAUAAGAAUAUAAGCUCCAAGGGCAGGGGUCUUUGUUUUGUUCGGUCACUGAGGUAUUCUAAGCACUCAGAGGCAGUGCCUGGCAUACAUAGAAGGCUUUCAAUAAACAUCUAUCUGUUCAUGAACAAAUGUCUAGGCUUUGGGCGUGUUGAGGACAGGGUCUGUCUCUUCCCCGCUUGGAGGGGGUGGGGCCCCAACACCAGCCAUGGCUCUACUAUGGACCUCUGAUCCCUUUUGUGUGCUUAACCCUAAAAUUGUCUCUUAACAAGUCUACCACUUCUGUCCCUCUGCAGUCUCUUCUCUACACAAGAGGGAUCCCAUUAAAAAUCUGAGUUGGAUGGUGCAGCACACCUACCGGAACCCUUCUGAGUCCUUACCAGCACACAGGGCCCUGAUGACAUCUCCGUCUGGCUUCAUCUCCACGCUCACUCCAUCCCAGCCACCCAUCCUCCCCACCCAGGGACUCUGACACUGUGCUUCCCUCUAUUAGGGUGGCUCUUGCUGGUCUUGGAGAGGUUAUGCAGUCAACAGUUUUGACAGCUGCAAAGGGACCCAGAGCAGACUUUUCUCCUUUGCCUGAACUCUCCAAGGAUCCAGAGCCUAGGUACCAGCAGAGGAUUCUUGGGCCCAUCUGCCACCUCAGAGUCCAGAUGAAUUUGGAAAACCUUUCCUCUUACGCUAACUGUGACCUUCAACAAGUUGAUAAAGUAUACCUUUGUAAACGAAGAUGAAACAUUUAUCUUUUUCUCUCUACCUGAUCCCUCCAGAAUUUGGUUUCUCCAGUUGGCUCCCCCGUGGACUUGAUGGCUUAUUUUGACCAGAUUACAACUAGUUAUACUAAUCACUGUUUUAGUUUGUUCUCUCUUGGCAUUUUCAAAUUAUUUAUGCCUUGUGCCUCUCUCUGCUGCACUGUCAGUUUAUUAAUGUUACUAGCUAUAUUACUUAUGAGAUUGUUAUCUCUUACAUUACCAAAGUGUAACCAAGCCUCCAGCAAAAUUAAUGACAUCUCGAGUUAGUUGAUCAUGUACAUAACUCUACAUAGAAUAAUUGUAAUAGUGCAAUUCUAGAUCUGGGAAGAAGCAACAAGGGAAAACAUUUCCUGGAUCACAACAGACUAAUAAAACAGGUGAUCCAGAGAAUUUUAGAUUAUCAACAGGGUCUAAUCCAAAACACAUCAGCACAUUGAGUGGCCUAUCAACAGAAUCUUCGCCUGAUCAAGGGAUGAGCCUUCCUAGCCCUGAGGGACAAAAUUGGUCAUAAAAUGCCUCCCAAAUAUUGGUUGAAUUUAUGGCCAAGAGGAAGCACUGUGAGCAAAGAAUGUCACCUGCCAUAUCAGUAAACAAGCCAUGAAGCCUUCAACCUCUGCAGCCACCACCAAUGGUGCAGCCUGAGGGGAUUCAGGAUGG